CGAUACAUGCCCUCGUCUGCCCUUCGUAUCCCUUUCCCUCUCCAUUUUCUUUCCAGAACAAUCAACCCGGAGGUGAUCCGGCCCCGAAUGGCUGCGAUCCCCCAUGGUGGCGUCAAUCGUGCUGCGACGACGGCGAAGGAUGAGGCUCGCUUGCUGCCCCUGAAGGAGCAGACGGAGCACGCGCAGCGGGGGCGCCUGGGAGUAACUCUGCCUCGGCCGUCGGCUCCGCACACGUCGCCCCGCCCACGUCCUCCGCGUCGGCCUCGCCCUCCUCAACAACGCCUCCACGCCCUCCGGCCUCGCCCCACAACAUAAUGUGCUCUACCUUCUCUUCCCCUGUCCCUCGCUGAUCUGCCCUGUCCCGAUUGGUGGAGCGCGCCGAGGCCGACCGUCGGGCGCCGGUUGCUAGGCCGCAGGCCACCAGGGAGCCAACCGCGAGGAGUCGAGGCCGGCCGCUUGACGCCUGAUGCAUCUUGACUCGCACUUCGUCCGUCUGUUCCCCAUCGACAAUGGUGCCUCGAUCUGGCAGGGAUGGGGGUGCUGCUAGGGAAGGGAGGAGAGCCACACGACAUUCUUCAUCCAGGUCUCCUCUUCCUCCCCAAUCUGGAGUUCCACUGCCAUAGGCACCGGCGUCGAUUCAUGUCUCUCUCGUCCACCUUCAGCUCCCCCGCCCUAGCGUGCUCAUCAUCGCCCUCUCCCAGAUGGUGUUGCUUGUCGAGGUGCGGUACGUUUUCAAUCUCUUGUGAAUGCUGCCGGCACUACCGACGUGCAACAAGAUCCUAGACAAACUCGUGAAAGCACACAGGUUUGGGUUUGCCUAGGUGGUGUUCAACGAAAUGCUUUGAUGGGGAUGGUGACACAAGCACGUAGGUUAGUUGUUUGAUGAAAUGCUUUGACGGUGGAUGGUGCCACAAGCACACACGUUUGGGUGCACCUGAGAGCUGUUCGACGAAGUGCUUAGAUGGGGGGUGCUGCUCAGUUUGGCCAUGCACUCAUGCAUAAUACUGUCUCUGAUACAUGCUGGUAAAUGUGGCCAAGGCUCAGGAGGUGUGCAAUCAUAUGGUGACUACUCAAAGUUGAUAGGUGGAGCACAUCAAAAUGGAUAGCAGGUUGGUGCACAACAUCUACAAGCUACGGGUGAACUCAGGGUGUUGCCCUCGAUGCACUUCCUUUCAUAGGAUAAUCUCUCUGACGGCCACUGGGGAUCGGAGGCCGCACGUGGCCAUGGGGCAGAGUCGCCGGCAGCCAGGCCGCAUGGGCUGCUGGCCGGGGGAGCCCCCGACGCUAGCUUGCCGGCUGUAGGAAUCUCUCGACUAGCAUUCUAAUCUAUUUCUUUGUCCCUGUUUUUCUGUAUGUCUGAGCUCUGUGGUUUAUCUGUAUUGAUGAGCAUCAUUUUAUAAGUCUCAUUAAGAACAAAACAGAGAAGUUCCCUAAGUGUUCUAA